CUCCUGGAAACGGGUGGUAAUGCCCGAUGCUCCAUCAUGCUGCAUGGUGUGGUGGGAAAGCUUCGGCGGUAUGGGAUGGGGUCGCGUCCUAUCAGCUUGUUGGUGGGGUAAUGGCCUACCAAGGCUUCGACGGGUAGCCGGCCUGAGAGGGCGACCGGCCACAUUGGGACUGAGAUACGGCCCAGACUCCUACGGGAGGCAGCAGUGGGGAAUAUUGCGCAAUGGGGGGAACCCUGACGCAGCGACGCCGCGUGCGGGAUGGAGGCCUUCGGGUUGUGAACCGCUUUUGGUAAGGAGCAAGCGAGAGUGAGUGUACUCAUCGAAUAAGGACCGGCUAACUACGUGCCAGCAGCCGCGGUAAUACGUAGGGUCCAAGCGCUGUCCGGAAUUAUUGGGCGUAAAGGGCUCGUAGGCGGCCUGUCGCGUCUGGUGUGAAAGCCCGUGGCUUAACUGCGGGUCUGCGCUGGAUACGGGCGGGCUAGAGUGCGGUAGGGGAGAAUGGAAUUCCCGGUGUAACGGCGGAAUGUGUAGAUAUCGGGAAGAACACC
rnacentral:rRNA from 1 species